rnacentral:lncRNA from 1 species
CUCACUUUGUAGACCAGGCUAGCCUUGAACUCAGAGAUCUCCCUGCCUCUGUCUCCCAAGUGCUGGGAUUAAAGGGGUACACCACCAUGCCCGGCCUUUAAAAACUUGUACAAUUAAAUUCACUAAGUAGCUGAUAAUAUUAGAAAUAUAUGUCUUUCCAAGGCACUGAACAUGAUUUUUUGAAAAAUACUGUGGUUAAUUUUUUUUUUUUUUUUUGGUGUUUUUGAAACAGGCUCUCUCUAUAGCCACAGCUGGCCUAGAACUCACUGUGUAGAUAUGUAGACCACACUGACCUUGAACUCACAGAGAUCCUCUUGCUCCCAAAUGUUGGGACUACAGCCAUGUACCACCAUGCCCAGCUAAUGUGUUUUAUUUUUUUAAACCAUACUUUUGUUACUUUUUCUCAAUUUAAAUGUUUAUAGAGGUGAUAUGUUAUAGAACUUGUUACCAAAAAAAGCUUAAGAGGUACAAAUGACUUAACUGCUUUCAUUACCAUUUUAGUCUAAGCCAGAAAUUCAGUAUGGCCCACAGUUGGAGCAGGAGUCUACAAGUUUGAGAAAAUCAUCUUUAAGCAAAAUGUCCUAUCUGCAAAUGAGAAGCUCACAGGCACACAGGAGCUACCUUGAAGAUGAAGAAAGUGAUGGCCUUCUAAGAUGCCUCUCUCUGUAUGUAUUUUUCCUUUAUAUGUAUACUAAAGAUAAAAUCAGGUUUAUGUCAAAGUCUUUCCUUUGUGUUACUUUUAAAUUAGUAAUUCAAAAGUUAAAAAAGACAAAAAGCAACAGCAAAAACCUUUUCAUCUUUUCCCUUCCAAACUUGUGCUUUUGAAUAUUCUAGUUUGUUUAGAAGGUAAGAAGUGUACUAUUUUUUAAAUUGGCACCUAAUUAUACAAAUGUAUGGGAUACAGUGUGAUGUUUUGGUACAUGUAUGCAUUGUGUAAUGGUCAGACAGGAUAAUUAGCAUUUGCACCACCUCAGGCACUUAUCAUUUCUUUGUGCUAAAACAUUCAAAAUCCUCUAAUGGCAGUUUUGA